AACAAAAACACCAUCAACACACCCAUAUACACUGUGGUACACAUACGAUUUUAGCAGGAAUCCCACAUACUUUAUUUAUUUUGUAGUGUGGAAUGUUAGAAAAGGUUUCAUCAAGUGGAAAUGAGUGGAACAAAGAACAAUGACCACAGCAAACAUUACCCAGCUUGCAAAGAUUGUAAUAAAUCCAUUAGAAGAAGACAGCCUGUCUUAAACUUGGACACACACAUCGAGACCUUCGGCAUUUCUCAGCCAGCUUUGUGUCAAGCGCACGCUUAAGAUGCCCCGGGGCCAGUCGUCAGCACCGAGGCCAGAUGGGAGCACCGCUCUCUACCUGCCGGUCCCCUGACACCUACCAAACCCCCCACCGCCACCCGCUUUUCCUCGCCAUCUGUGCCAACCUGCCCCAAACUGUCAACAGUUCAAGCGCGGGAUGCGGCAUUAGGGCCCGUUUGGUGACAACUGACAGCCCAGCUGUGCUAAUGUCAAUAUGGUGAGAUGGCGACGUCAACAACAGCGAGGCUAUCGUCUGUUUCACGCUGCUAUUGUGACACUGCUUAACCAGAUGUGUGACGAUACCCAUUUACCACUGAGGGACUGUGAGUGUUUAUUAUUAUCAAUCUGUUAAAAGACAUGUUAAGUACUUAAAGUGUGUAUCAGCACGUCUACACCUAUGAUGAAGAUGUGAGUAACAGUACUGAAAGUAACAGCAGUGAGUUUUUUUUUGGCACAGAUUAGUAAAUACAUGAAACCCCUGACAUUUAUGCUAAUAGUAUGUUGACACUAACCACGUUUCAUAGAUGCAACUUCCUGUGGACCGUGUGACUUGUGAAACAGUCCACAAUGUGUUAGGGUAACAGGACUACGGGGUGUACAGAUACAACCUUUUCACUUCCAGUACCAUACCAAUAAUGGAGCCUAGAGUGUUAGGCGGUAUCUAUAUUGGUUAUUCGAUACCGUAUCAGCACAAAUCAUACAUACUGUUAUUAUUUUGUAGUGUGGAAUGUUAGAAAAGGUUUGAUUAAGUGAAAUUAGUCAAACAGAACAAUGGUAAAUAUUAAAAACACUAACCUAAUUUUUAUUGACUGUCUGUAAUGGACUUAUAUUGUCUUUAAGUUGAAGUGGCGUGGUAAAUGUUUUUUUAGCGAUACCUUGUGGACACAAUAUUUAAUUAACUUAAAGGCCUACUGAAACUCACUACUACCGACCACGCAGUCUGAUAGUUUAUAUAUUAAUGAUGAAAUCUUAACAUUGCAACACAUGCCAACUAAAGAGCAAUUUUAAAUUUCCCGCGAAAUAUCCUGCUGAAAACGUCUCGGUAUGAUGACGUCUGCGCGUGACGUCACGGAUUGUAGAGGACAUUUUGGGACAGCAUGGUGGCCAGCUAUUAAGUCGUCUGU